GUGGCAGGAGAAAAUGUUCAUCUCUGUGAUGUCCUUUGCAGAUUUCACUGUUCUAAUUCUGAGCUGACAUCCCUCCUCCAUUUUAUACAAACCCCAAAUAGCUGCAGUGGCUCAGAUUUAAUGUGGAAAAAAUUCCGACCGUUGAAAAGACACCUAAAAAAAAUAAAAUUAAACCAAUUAAAAAAACCAAACCAGCACACCUUUAAAAGUACUUAAACCCAAAACUCGUGCCAGCAGGUGGUGCUGAAUUGCUGUAAAUAAUUUUCCACCUGAAAUCCUGAAGCAUGUGACCAUGUACCUGGAAUCCUCACAUCACCUCUGACCCCCCUAAAAAGUUGGCAGCUCUGCCAGGAGAUGAACCAGGGGGUGGAAAGGGGGUGCCCCAGGCUCUCUGCAGCUUCACUCCCAACUGUGUCUUGUGAAAAAGGAUUCUCUUUGUAAAAGCAGAUGGUUUGGAUCACCCUUUGGAAAGGACAAUGAAGACAGUCCUUUAAUGUCAAAGGAUUAUGGGCUUCACUGAAUCAAAAUUAAUCAAGGAUAAUGGAAAGUGUGUUUUGUCUUAAAUCACAGGUUGGCAAAGGUGUGUUACCUGCCAUUGCUAUUUAAAUGUGGGGAGCACAGCCCUGACCUGUUAUUGUGAAUGCUUCCCGUGCCUCAGCUCUGGAGCGUGCCGAAAUAAAAACUGGGACUGAAAGGAUCCCUGGAUUUGUGUGUGAUUUCUGAGCGGCCAAGCCAGACCCUUGUACUUUGCUCCCUGCUGAGUUAUCACUGAAAAUUUGAGAGGCACCCCAAAAUCCUGGAGGAUGGAGCAUUCCUGGAAGGAUACCUGCAGCAGUCAGUGUCAGUCCUCUGUGAGAGCUCUGCGGGCUUAGAGGUAUUUUUAAAGACUAUUUUAAUCUCAAUUCUUUAGAACUGGAAUAGAAUAUAAAUCAAAAGGUUGGAAAGGGAGAUUAAUUCUGAGGCUGGGUUGUUUUUUUUUUUGGAGUCUGCCUUUUUUUUUCUAAUUAACUGGGGGAGCAAGGGGACCCAACAGUUGAACCUUUAGGGUAAGGACAAGUGACAUUUUUUUGGAUAGUAAAUACAGAUGUUCAGGUAAUUUAAUGGAAAACAAAAAGAUGGGAGAUGAUGUGAAAGAACUGAUCAAGCAUCACACAAGUCAUAGGUUUAUGUGGCAGGGAGAAUUCUGUAAGAAAUACCUGGAAAAGGGGCAAAGAGAAUUUUUUUUAAUUCAGCAUUUCAGCCUUUGAAAGGAUGGCAAGACAUUGCUAGAAAACAGGGACAGUUAGAGGUGAGACACUAAUCAGAGGAUGAUGAUGAGUUUUUUCUUCACUCUUGACUGUGGUUUGUGAACACAACAAUAAACACAAGCCAAGCAAAAAUAAUCACAAGUUUGGGUUAGAAAAGACCUUUAAGAUCAAGUCUUGUGCCUAAGA